AGAACAGUGAAUGCACAAAAAUGUGCUGUCUCUUCUCAGGACCCUCACAUCACAGCAGAACAUCACAGUGUCAACAGAAGUCAGAAACUGGAAUACUGUAUCUCAUUUUGCAUGAAGCUCAAGAAUUCUACACCUGGAAUGUCAUUAACUCUUGCAAUUAAUAUUAUACAUCACCACAGUUGCAUAACUAUCUUCUUUGAAAAAAAUAAAAUAAAGAUACUUCAGA